rnacentral:rRNA from 1 species
UACAGAGGGUGCGAGCGUUGUUCGGAAUUAUUGGGCGUAAAGCGCUUGUAGGCGGUCGUUUAAGUCUCAUGUGAAAGCCCCAGGCUUAACUUGGGAAGUGCAUGAGAUACUGGACGACUUGAAUGCUGGAGAGGGUCGCGGAAUUCCCGGUGUAGAGGUGAAAUUCGUAGAUAUCGGGAGGAACACCAGUGGCGAAGGCGGCGACCUGGACAGACAUUGACGCUGAGACGCGAAAGCGUGGGUAGCAAACAGG